CUGUAGUGCUUCCUGCGUGCAGGCCCAUUGCCUAAACGCUACAUGCUUACACAAAAGUCUUCUACUUUAAAUUUGCAUAAUGCAUACUACCUAAUGAAUAACCUAGUAUAUAUGUCCACUAUAUAAGUACCUUGGCGAAUGAAUCUUUAUUCUACCUAGCUCACACAUGCAUCAUAUAGUCAGUGCAAACCGGGUAAAAUAUUUUUCUGGAUAAGGAAAAAAUAUGAGGAGCAAGACGAAUGGAUAGAAACCUAGGAGGUAUAGGAUG
rnacentral:lncRNA from 1 species